CCUACGGGAGGCAGCAGUGAGGAAUAUUGGUCACUGGACGAGAGUCUGAACCAGCCAAGUAGCGUGAAGGAUGACUGCCCUAUGGGUUGUAAACUUCUUUUAUAUGGGAAUAAAAUGUUCCACGUGUGGGAUUUUGUAUGUACCAUAUGAAUAAGGAUCGGCUAACUCCGUGCCAGCAGCCGCGGUAAUACGGAGGAUCCGAGCGUUAUCCGGAUUUAUUGGGUUUAAAGGGAGCGUAGGUGGAUUGUUAAGUCAGUUGUGAAAGUUUGCGGCUCAACCGUAAAAUUGCAGUUGAAACUGGCAGUCUGGAGUACAGUAGAGGUGGGCGGAAUUCGUGGUGUAGCGGUGAAAUGCUGAGAUAUCACGAAGAACUCCGAUUGCGAAGGCAGCUCACUGGACUGCAACUGACACUGAGGCUCGAAAGUGUGGGUAUCAAACAGGAUUAGAGACCCCGGUAGUC
rnacentral:rRNA from 1 species